GACGAACGCUGGCGGCGUGCCUAACACAUGCAAGUCGAACGGACUUGACGGAAGCUUGCUUUUGUCAAGUUAGUGGCGGACGGGCGAGUAACGCGUGAGCAACCUGCCCUUCAGUGGGGAAUAACGACCGGAAACAGUCGCUAAUACCGCAUAACGUAUUCUGGUGGCAUCAUCGGGAUACCAAAGGAGCAAUUCGCUGAAGGAUGGGCUCGCGUCCGAUUAGCUAGUUGGUGAGGUAACGGCCCACCAAGGCGACGAUCGGUAGCCGAACUGAGAGGUUGAUCGGCCGCAUUGGGACUGAGACACGGCCCAGACUCCUACGGGAGGCAGCAGUGGGGGAUAUUGCACAAUGGGGGAAACCCUGAUGCAGCAACGCCGCGUGAGGGAAGAAGGUCUUCGGAUUGUAAACCUAAGUUGUCAGGGACGAAACAAAUGACGGUACCUGAAGAGAAAGCUCCGGCUAACUACGUG
rnacentral:rRNA from 1 species